rnacentral:rRNA from 1 species
ACGAACGCUGGCGGCGUGCUUAACACAUGCCAGUCGCACGGAAAGGCCCUGCUUGCCGGGUACUCGAGUGGCGAACGGGUGAGUAACACGUGGGUGAUCUGCCCUGCACUUCGGGAUAAGCCUGGGAAACUGGGUCUAAUACCGGAUAGGAGCCAUUUUUAGUGUGAUGGUUGGAAAGUUUUUUCGGUGUAGGAUGAGCUCGCGGCCUAUCAGCUUGUUGGUGGGGUAAUGGCCUACCAAGGCGGCGACGGGUAGCCGGCCUGAGAGGGUGGACGGCCACAUUGGGACUGAGAUACGGCCCAGACUCCUACGGGAGGCAGCAGUGGGGAAUAUUGCACAAUGGGCGCAAGCCUGAUGCAGCGACGCCGCGUGGGGGAUGACGGCCUUCGGGUUGUAAACUCCUUUCGCUAGGGACGAAGCUUUUUGUGACGGUACCUAGAUAAGAAGCACCGGCUAACUACGUG